AUUUUUGCGGUGAAUGGACAGGAAGAUUUGUUUCUAAAUGCUUGAGAAAAUAAAGAGAAACCUGUUUAAAACUGCUUUUUUGAAACUAUGGUUUGGCUAGUAGGCCAGAAUAAAUCAUUAAGUCAUGUCUAAUGGUACCCUCCGCAACACGCAACCAAGCACUUUGCAAAGCCUGAUGGGUGGAUUGAGAAUUUGGGUUUUUUUCCCCCUGAAUGAAUUUUUCAUUGUAAUUUCUGUUUCUUUAUAUUUUGAUUGGAGAUUGAGACAAUGGAAACAAUCUGUAAUUUUCUCCUUGAAAACCAGCCAACAAACCAAAUCUUCUAUUAUCUUGAUAAAUAUUAACUUCUGCUGAUCUUUAAAUGUAUUAGUGGAACAGAAUGCAGGUUUUAAAAAGAUAGUACAGAAGUUAUUUUCCUGCAAUUGACUGCAUAGUACACGGUGGAAUCCUGCAAACAUUGAUAUAUACGAAUAGUUCUAACUGAAAAUGCUGGAAGCCUUGGAACAAAGGCCAGUCUUCUCAUAGGCCCAUCUAGGUGCAGGAUGCCUAGAGACGAAUGAUAGGGAAAAAGGUCUCUGUGACAUCGGUCCCUACUGGCACUGACUAUACAAGUGGAGAGAUACCUAGACAGAAGAAGGGAGCAUGCUAUAUUCCAUCUGUUCUCAAGCAGUCCUGGGCUGUGAGCCACCCGAGCCUGGCAUUGUGUCAUUGGACUUUCAUAACAGCAAGAUGGCCUCAUUACCAUGUGCACAGGCAGCCUUCAGUGAAUGCCAGCUCAUACCACGCAUCUGACAUCAAUUUGGGAAUAAAGCAUUUGAAAAAUGACAAUGUUAGUAGUUUGGAAGUGGAAUUGUACUUUUGA
rnacentral:lncRNA from 1 species